CAUAGACAGCCCCAGUCCUGUAGGCUCGGCAGGCCAGUGCCAACCAACAGAGAGGCACUGACUAGCCAUCACUUCAAGGUUAACCAGUUAUCCUGAUCUCAAUUUUUUUUUCUGAGACAGGGUCUCAUAUGUAGUUCAGGCUGGCCUUAACUCAGAAUGUACUCUAGGCUGGCCUGGAACUCGGGGCUAUCCUCCUGCCUCAGCCUCCGGAAUGCUUGGAUUACAGGUGUGCCACCAUGCCCAGCUUCAUCCUGACCUCUUGUGUCUCCAUCCCUUCCUUGCACCUAGGCCCUGCUCACCUUGAAUUGCAGCUUUAUUAAUAAUAAUAAUAGCUACUACAGUAGACCCUCAAGUUACAACUGACCUGACAUAUGAACAACUUGGGUUCUUUAGGUUAAUGGAAGAUUCAUCUGCCUCUUGUUAUCUAUAGCAUGUACCCAGGUAAACAACCAGAUCUCAGCUGUAUUGACUUACAACCAACUUGAGUUACAACCAUCACCUGGGAACCUAUCGAGUUUGCUUCUCAAGGCUACCUGGAAAGGAGUUGACCAGCAGCAAGAGAGCUGGUUUUGAGCCACGAUUUGCCACCAGACAGCAGAGCCAGACAGCAGAGCAGCAAGAAGACAUUGGGCGGGGGCUGAGGAUUAGCCCAAACAAAACACCAAAGAACGCAAAUCUGAGGUUCAGCACGAGGAGGGAGAAUACAGCUCGGCCCCUGGGUGUGGGCUUUCUCUUUCGCGUGUGUUCAUUCGUUGCACUUACUAACCUCGAGCAAGCGCUGGGCGCGGAGGGUCCAGGCGAAAUCGAGGACCCCCGUGGUGCUCAGUUUUGGGGGGCGGGGGCUGGUGGUCCCAGCUGCUGACACCAAGACAGUGGAAGCUCAGGUUACACCAAGCCAGGUCUCAUGCUUAUUCCAUUUUAAUGGAAACUGAGACCAAGGGCAAGGCUGGGAUUAGCCCGGCGUUGCAGGGGGGCGAAGGGCCGAGCCCGAUCUUGAACGGAUGGCACGCCCGGAAUCGGGAGAGGCCUCCUCCCGCGUGAUCAUGCACCUGGGCUGGGCGAGGAAAUCAGGGCCUGGAGGAGAAGCAUUCCGGCCGCCAUCCCGCUGCCCGGGGCCGCGGGGGGCCUGGCCAAGGUGACCCUGCGGGAGGAGGAGAGGGUCCCCGCCCUCUCGGCCGAGGCAACCUCCUCCAUCUUCCCCGUCGGCUGGGCUUCUCCUCAGGCCCCGAGCGCCUCCCCCCCACCCCGGGCUACCCCGAGAGCGGGACAUUUCGGGCUCUUGUCCGCCCCCCCAGGCCACCUCGGGCCAUGUCCUAGCUCUGCCCUCCGGCCCGGGGAAGAGUCGAGGGGGGGCCGAGGAGGAGGCGCUCGUCCCGGUCCGGGCUCCUUCCCCCCCCCCGCCCCGCCCUGCCUCCCGGUGCCCGCUCCCGCGGCCGUCCUCCCUUCCUCCUCG
rnacentral:lncRNA from 1 species